AACGAACGCUAUCGGUAUGCUUAACACAUGCAAGUCGGACGGACUAAUUAGGGCUUGCUCCAAUUAGUUAGUGGCAGACGGGUGAGUAACACGUGGGAAUCUGCCCCUCAGUACGGAAUAAAUUUUAGAAAUAAAAGCUAAUACCGUAUAAUCUCUACCGAGGGAAGAUUUAUCGCUGAUGGAUUAGCGCGCGUCAGGUUAGGUGGUUGGUUAGGUAGCGUCUCACCAAGCCGACGAUCUGUGGCUGGUUUGAGAGGUUGAUCAGCCACACUGGGAGUGAGACACGGCCCAGACUCCUACGGGAGGCAGCAGUGGGGAAUAUUGGACAAUGGGCGAAAGCCUGAUCCAGCAAUCGCGAGUGAGUGAUAAAGGCCCUAGGGUUGUAAAGCUCUUUUAGCAAGGAAGAUAAUGACGUUACUUGCAGAAAAAGCCCCGGCUAACUCCGUG
rnacentral:rRNA from 1 species